UCACUACCCUGAACACACCUGGUCUCAUUUGAUUUUGGAAGCAAAGCUGAGUGGGCCUGGUUAGUAUCUGGAUGGAUGAAUGUCACGGAAAACCAGGGAU
rnacentral:rRNA from 1 species